UCUGAUGCACUGGUUAAAAACACAGCAGCCGAUAAUUCAGUUAAUUUACCAAGUGAUUUACCCUUCAAAGCUGCAGGGGUAGCUUUCCUGAAGAGUGCAAAAACUUCUUUAGCUUUCAAAAUGAUAUAAAGUACAAACAGUGUAGCUAAUAUAGACAAAUCUGAUCAUUCAUCAUCAACAAUAACUGCAUCUGAGAAUUAUAGUUCUACAGUAACCAUGGAGUCUAGGUCAGCAAUUACUAUUUCUCAUCCAAGCCGUUUUUGUUUAACUGCUACACAUAGUUACUACGGCAUAGUUAGGGAAUGCCAAGGAAAAGGGUAUGGUGCUUAUAAUGCUGAGCUAUUAUUAAGCAAUAAAGGACAUAUAAUAAAUGGCAUAUAUUAUGCAAAAGGUUCCGUCGAUGGGUCCAUAUGUUCUAAAGUUACUAAUCUUUUAGAACCUAUCAGCCAAACUAAUGUGGUAGAAAAUAUCUUAGAGGUACCUAUGGAAAUAGCUGAUGAGAAACACUCAGAUGCUUUAAAUCAAAAAGAUAUUCCAGAAAAUACCUCAUCUUAUAUGGAAAUAAUUGCUAUAAUAGAAAAUUCCAACAAUCAAAUAGAUAUUGAAAAAGUACCAUUACAAAUUGUACCUAAUACCUUAAGGAAAAAGGAAUCUGCUAAGAAACAUGAGUAUACUUACAUAUGUAUACAUUUAUUAUAUCUAUUUUAUAUAAUUCAUUUAUUAUUAUUAUAUUUAUUUAUUUUUUUCUCCUCACUAGUUCUUCGUUUUUUUAUUACCAAUUUUAUUGAUAUUCCUUUAAACAAAUGCAUUAUUUGAAUAUUUAAAAAAUAUGUUUUUAGGUCUUGAAAAAAGAAGCUGUUUAUUAAAAAGUUUAAAUGUUCAUCGUUCCAUUAAGUUGACACCAAAGGCCAAAAAAAUAUAUACCAAAUUCACAUCUUGGAGGAGUGAAAUAUAUGGAAUGGAAAAAAAAAUGUAAUCUUAUAAAGAGAGAAUAGGUAUUGCCGAAAAAUAUGUCAAUGACACAGAUUUUAAAAACCUCUUAAAACAUAUUAAUAGUCCUACCUACAAGUUCAUUAUAAAAUGAUGUAUAUUAUAUCUAUCUUCACCAAUAAUAAAUUAUUAUUCGUGAAAUCACAGAAACGUACAUGUAUCAGAGACAACUAUUUUUUUCUGCAUGUAUGUUAUUUGGUAGUAUGUUAUGUUUUUGGCAUAGACAUAAUGCAAAAUAGACAAUACUUACAAAAGGUCGCCAAGAAAUGAUAAGUCGAAAAUUCACCUCCAUAUUUUAAAAUUUAGAAUAUAAUACCGUGUAAAUGCAUAUUAUUAUGCAGAACUUAUUGAUUUUAAGAUUUUUACUUGUUUUAAUAAAUAUUUUGUUAAA